rnacentral:antisense_RNA from 2 species
GUGGGAGCGAGCUUGCUCGCGAAGGCAGUGUGUCAGUCAGAGUUGAAUUGACUGAUGCUCCCCAUUCGCGAGCAAGCUCGCUCCCAC